rnacentral:rRNA from 1 species
UAGGUAGCGCCUCGUGAAUUCAUCUUCGGGGGUAGAGCACUGUUUCGGCUAGGGGGUCAUCCCGACUUACCAACCCGAUGCAAACUACGAAUACCGAAGAAUGUUAUCACGGGAGACACACGGCGGGUGCUAACGUCCGUCGUGAAGAGGGAAACAACCCAGACCGCCAGCUAAGGUCCCAAAGUCAUGGUUAAGUGGGAAACGAUGUGGGAAGGCACAGACAGCCAGGAUGUUGGCUUAGAAGCAGCCAUCAUUUAAAGAAAGCGUAAUAGCUCACUGGUCGAGUCGGCCUGCGCGGAAGAUGUAACGGGGCUAAACCAUGCACCGAAGCUGCGGCAGCGACACUAUGUGUUGUUGGGUAGGGGAGCGUUCUGUAAGCCUGCGAAGGUGACCUGUGAGGGUUGCUGGAGGUAUCAGAAGUGCGAAUGCUGACA